rnacentral:rRNA from 1 species
UGGGGAAUAUUGCACAAUGGGCGCAAGCCUGAUGCAGCCAUGCCGCGUGUGUGAAGAAGGCCUUCGGGUUGUAAAGCACUUUUGUCCGGAAAGAAAUGGCUCUGGUUAAUACCUGGGGUCGAUGACGGUACCGGAAGAAUAAGGACCGGCUAACUACGUGCCAGCAGCCGCGGUAAUACGUAGGGUCCAAGCGUUAAUCGGAAUUACUGGGCGUAAAGCGUGCGCAGGCGGUUGUGCAAGACCGAUGUGAAAUCCCCGAGCUUAACUUGGGAAUUGCAUUGGUGACUGCACGGCUAGAGUGUGUCAGAGGGGGGUAGAAUUCCACGUGUAGCAGUGAAAUGCGUAGAGAUGUGGAGGAAUACCGAUGGCGAAGGCAGCCCCCUGGGAUAACACUGACGCUCAUGCACGAAAGCGUGGGGAGCAAACAGGAUUAGAUACCCUGGUA